AAAUGUUUCCCCUCCUGCAGAAGGAAAGCCCUCAGUGUUCUUAGUUCUAGUGCGUGGCAGAGCUACCUGUCUGGGCUAACCCACAUCCCUCUUGACAUUUAAGAUUAAAAGAAGAAGAAAAAUUCCCAGGAUCACUUUUUGUUUGCUUUGCGCAAAAAGAGAAAGAAAAAGGUGAGGCUUGGCCGUAAACAUAGCAACGGUAACCAAGGAGCGCGAUGCAGUCGCACCUCUGUGAGACACACACACACACACACACACACACACCUUUGCCACACUAACCAGAACGCACGCACACGUCGAUACCCGCCCAGAACGGGGCUGUGGUUACCCUGAGAUCGCGUCUGACAUCAGAUAAACGUCAGUUAUAUUGCCUGCUUACAUUGUCAGAUAUUCAGCCCACAUGAGAAAUACUGGAACUUCCACUUGAAAAUGUUUUUUUUUUUCUUCGUCGUCGUCGUUUUCAAGUGUCCCUGUCCAUAUCUGCUUUGUUUACCCCGCCGGUUGCUUGGAUACAAGCAGCUGAGAGCGCAGGUGCUGAAUCAGUUGUGUAAAUGUGCUGCGCAUUGCCCCCUAUCUGCGGACUGGGGAAGUGUCGCGUCAGCAUUGGUCAGCUGAUGCAGUCGGCUGACCCCGUAAAAUACUGUAAAAAAUAAAAGAACUUUCCCAA